rnacentral:rRNA from 1 species
CCUACGGGUGGCAGCAGUGGGGAAUAUUGCACAAUGGGCGCAAGCCUGAUGCAGCCAUGCCGCGUGUGUGAAGAAGGCCUUCGGGUUGUAAAGCACUUUCAGCGGGGAGGAAGGCGGUGAGGUUAAUAACCUCAUCGAUUGACGUUACCCGCAGAAGAAGCACCGGCUAACUCCGUGCCAGCAGCCGCGGUAAUACGGAGGGUGCAAGCGUUAAUCGGAAUUACUGGGCGUAAAGCGCACGCAGGCGGUCUGUCAAGUCGGAUGUGAAAUCCCCGGGCUCAACCUGGGAACUGCAUUCGAAACUGGCAGGCUAGAGUCUUGUAGGGGGGGGUAGAAUUCCAGGUGUAGCGGUGAAAUGCGUAGAGAUCUGGAGGAAUACCGGUGGCGAAGGCGGCCCCCUGGACAAAGACUGACGCUCAGGUGCGAAAGCGUGGGGAGCAAACAGGAUUAGAUACCCGGGUAGUC